AUUGAACGCUGGCGGCAUGCCUUACACAUGCAAGUCGAACGGCAGCAUGAUCUAGCUUGCUAGAUUGAUGGCGAGUGGCGAACGGGUGAGUAAUACAUCGGAACGUGCCCUGUAGUGGGGGAUAACUAGUCGAAAGAUUAGCUAAUACCGCAUACGACCUGGGGGGGAAAGUGGGGGACCGCAAGGCCACAUGCUAUAGGAACGGCCGAUGUCUGAUUAGCUAGUUGGUGAGGUAAAGGCUCACCAAGGCGACGAUCAGUAGCUGGUCUGAGAGGACGAUCAGCCACACUGGGACUGAGACACGGCCCAGACUCCUACGGGAGGCAGCAGUGGGGAAUUUUGGACAAUGGGGGCAACCCUGAUCCAGCAAUGCCGCGUGUGUGAAGAAGGCCUUCGGGUUGUAAAGCACUUUUGUCCGGAAAGAAAUCGCACUUACUAAUAUUAGGUGUGGAUGACGGUACCGGAAGAAUAAGGACCGGCUAACUACGUGCCAGCCGCCGCAGUAAUAC
rnacentral:rRNA from 1 species